rnacentral:rRNA from 1 species
UGGGGGAUAUUGCACAAUGGGGGAAACCCUGAUGCAGCGACGCCGCGUGAGUGAAGAAGUAUUUCGGUAUGUAAAGCUCUAUCAGCAGGAAAGAUAAUGACGGUACCUGACUAAGAAGCACCGGCUAAAUACGUGCCAGCAGCCGCGGUAAUACGUAUGGUGCAAGCGUUAUCCGGAUUUACUGGGUGUAAAGGGAGCGCAGACGGCAUGGCAAGCCAGAUGUGAAAGGUGGGGGCUCAACCCCCAAGCUGCAUUUGGAACUGUCAAGCUAGAGUAUCGGAGAGGUAAGUGGAAUUCCUAGUGUAGCGGUGAAAUGCGUAGAUAUUAGGAGGAACACCAGUGGCGAAGGCGGCUUACUGGACGAUAACUGACGUUGAGGCUCGAAAGCGUGGGGAGCAAACAGGA